rnacentral:rRNA from 1 species
UACGGAGGGUGCAAGCGUUAUCCGGAUUUACUGGGUUUAAAGGGUGCGCAGGCGGAUAUGUAAGUCAGUGGUGAAAUCUUUGGGCUUAACCCGAAAAUUGCCAUUGAUACUAUAUAUCUUGAAUGCUGUGGAGGUAAGCGGAAUAUGUCAUGUAGCGGUGAAAUGCUUAGAGAUGACAUAGAACACCUAUUGCGAAGGCAGCUCACUACACAAUCAUUGACUCUGAGGCACGAAAGCGUGGGGAUCAAACAGG